AAUCAAAAUCGCAUGUGAGUGCAAUACCAAAAUUACUGGACGCUAAAAUUCUUUGAUAAAGAUAAAAAUGUGUCAUGAAACAGCAUUAUGACCCCUACUAACUUUCUCCAGGUGUAAAAAUCAUGUUUGCUUGGUUGUAACUAGGGCUGGGCGAUAUGGAUAUUCAUCGAUAUUAAGUCACAUCCAAAUAGACCGAAUGUAAAACGGGCACUCUCUUUAACACCCAGCUGCACAAUGUCAACAUGGUCAUGAAAGAUGACAUCAAAAUUAACCACUAUUUUGUGAAAUUAAAAAUCAAUCCAU